CCGGACUGUUGGGUGUGAAUGGAAGAUGCCGUUUGUGUGGGGACUGGCGGGCGGCGGGGUCGUAGCCUCAUGAGCCUUUUCCUCUCCUGUGCCGCUCCAGCUCGGGCUGCUUCCCAACCUCCCGACCGCACGGCGCUGCCUGGGGUGCUGGUGGGGUCAGCGGCCUUCUGCAAGGACCCUUGGAACUGCCAAAAAGCUGGGGAGACGGGCACAUCCGCCUGUGUGCACAAUUCUGAUUGGAUCCUGGGAGCUCAGAUCUAACGCACCUGCUGGUGGCAAACUGGAAGAAACAGAAACGACUUCUCAAGGUGACCGUGUGCGGUGGAGCUGGAUGUCUCACCCUGAAGCAGCCCUUCCAGCCCAUCCUCUGUGAACUACACAAACUCAAGUCACAGUGUUUUGGACAGAAGGAAGUCAAAGAGCCCUAAAGCAGGACCCCGGCUUCAGGGACCCCGAAUGGAGGAGGGAGAGCCCCGGAGGCUGUGAUGCACCUGAGAUCAGUCCGUGUGGUCGGUGGUGAGAAUCAGCGUGACCCCCCAGGGUUGCCAUAGCACCUGGCAGCGACUAGCUAUUAAAGUGUGAUAGACAGGACACAGUGGAAGGACAGACGGAGAAAUGGACCGGGGAAGGGAGGGAAGGAGACAGGCAAAGGAGAAGGAGGGAGAGAAGAAGGAGGGAAGAGAGGCAGGGGACGAGGAAAGCAUCCGUCACGUUGAACAGUGACCGUUUGGUGCCGGAUAAGAAGCGCGGUUCUUUCUGGUGCAAAAGAAUCAAGAGGGAGAUUUCCCCAUGUGACGCACAUUCUUCACGUAAACCGCGCUUCUGAGUUGCUCAGAGUUGGAGGGAGAGGGGCCAGACGUGACUUUUACAGUCAUAGGACAAUGUCCCUGUCUUUCUACUGUUCUGUUUCCACCACCCUUCGCCUCCUUCCUGGUCUGUGGCCCAGGGCCCUACAAGUCUGAAUACGCAGGGGCGCUUCCUGUCCGUGCAGGUGCAGAUGAAACCGGCCCUUGGAUAUUUUCAUUGUUUCUCCGUGGCGCUCUAAGGUUCGGACCCCUUCCUGCUCGGAGCCCUGCGAUUGCCGCGUCCUGCGGCGGCGGAGCGCUCUCGGGCUCAGCGUGGUUUGAGUGGGGGUUAAAGGAGCUCGCUGCUCACCGCCCCUAGCUUUCAGAGGCGGGUAGCGCGCAAGCUGCCGGUGGUCUCCAGUUCUCCUUCGGUUCUCCUUCAGCUGCUGGCCCAGGAGCACCGCGUCUCACACGGUGCGUUUCAAAGCAGUCCAUGUUAAAGAAGAGCCGGAAGGUCCGCUGCGCCCCCGCGGGGNNNNNNNNNNNNNNNNNNNNNNNNNNNNCACCCAGCGCCCCGGCCCCCCUGGCCCAGGGCUCGCCCACGCGGGCCUCCCGUUCAGAGGUUACAGUGCUGACCUGUCUGCAGCCCGGGCCCACUGGACGCCACCGCCCGUGGGGUUUGUAGCACCUUCUCAGGGCGUUGAGAAGUAGGCGGGGAUUUAUCUAAAACUUGACCUUGCCGAGCACCUGCACUUGAUGUGUUCCCGUCAUUGGCCUCGCUGUUCACAUCGCCAUGGCCUCUUCGCAUCACAGUUUUCACCCCCAAAACAAAGCAGGAAAGUGCCUCGGUGUAGAGGGCGGGCCUUCGGGGGACUCGUCUGGGCCGCAGUUCUGUUCUGCCCCUUUCUGGCGGUGCAGGCCCGAGCUCGUUACUGACCUGCAGGUCUCAGGGUCGUCAUCAGUAAAGUAGAUGUGCUCUUCCCGGGUGCAUUGUGGGGAGUGAAGCGGUCGUGCGUGGGAAACUCAUUGCCCGGAGGUCACUAGGACGAAGCAGUCGCUGACUCUCUGAGGCGUCUUUUCACGGCUUAGCCACGGCUCCUUUGCAAGCAGAGGGUUCGGCCACACCCACUAAGGGGUGUGAUUAUGUGUUUUGGGUUUGCCAGCGUGCGGGACAGCUGGCUUGGAGGGGAGGGCUCAGAGUUGGGUCCCAGGUGCUGUGCUUCCGUGACGGUCUUUCAUGAGGGUGCCUAUUUCCCAUCAACCAGACCACGGUGUGGGCUGCCGUGGCUCUUGGUGGGUGCGUGCGAGCUCUGCCAAACGCUGAGCCUGCAGGAACGGUAGAAAGUGUGUCUCAGAGAGAAAGGCCGACCAGCGACGGUCCCCUGCACGCAGCGAAGGCCACACUUGGAGAAACUGUGAGAACGUGAAGCUGUGAUGAGCUCAAAGAAGCCAGAAUGUUCCGUUUAUUAAAAAGGCAAAUUUAUAUAAUUGUUUCUAUGUAGAUGCACAUACAUGUAUUUGUACAACUGCUGUUAAAAAAAUGUUAUACGUGCAAUUGUUUUGUUUUGUUGGUUAUCUAGCACCGCAGAUGACAGAAUCCAAACGUCAUCAGUGGGAGAUAACACCCUAGGUGUCUAUGGACCUUCUCGAGAGAAAGAAUUAUCUUGGACGAGGAGUCCGGUCCGGUAGAAUGACUAACCGAAAAGUAACCUUUCAAUGUGGGGAAAUUGCAAGAUAAAUAUAUAGGAAAGGAAUUUAAAUGUCAUACUGGUGGAGGGAAGAAAAAAAUAUCUGCCUUGAGAUUUUUGAACAGCAAAUUGGUUCUAACAAAUAUUUAGGGAAUUGCAAUGUUACUGUGCACUUGAAAAAAUGUUUCGGCAGACAGUUCGAAGUGGUCUGGGUUGGGAUGGACCUGGAUAUGUGUUUUCUGGAAGGACUCAGCUUCCAGCCAAUCCUUCCAUGAUUUCAGGACAUCAACAGUUUUAAGGAAUAGUCUCAAAAUUGGAGGUGAUAUAAUAUGAAAAAAGAUGCACCAUGCGUUGGUUGGAUGAUGUAGGGUAAAUGCACAACAUUAUUAAAAUGAAUUUUUAAAAGAUAUUUGAAGAUGGGCCAAGUAUGGUAGUGCACACCUCUGAUCCUAGCAAUCAGGAGACUGAGGCAGGAGGAUCACCAUGAGUUCAAGGCCAGCCUGGCCUGCACAGUGAGUUCAAGGCCAGCCUGGCCUGCACAGUGAGUUCAAGGCCAGCCUGAACUACAUAGCGAGACCCUGUGUCAAAAAACAAAACGAAGUUUAAGGUGGGAUCUUUUGGGUAGAUUGAAGCAAAAACUUGAUAUUGUAUGAGAUGAAAUUCUUAUCUUACUGAAAUAAAACAGUUCAUAAGGGAAUUGAGUACAAAGUGACAUUAUAUUUAGAGCUGCAAAUGCAUUUUAUAAAAUACAGUGAUACAAAAUUACAGAGGAGUAAAUGCUGCCACAGAAUUUACAAAAUGACCAGAAUAAAAGGUACUGAGGAUAUCCGAAGUUGAAAAGGUUUCACAGGAAAGGUGACUGAAUGUAGUAGACUUGCAUAAACAAAGUGAGAUAGAAAGUGAAAGUCAUUAUUUGGCCCUUGGAGCCUUGCAUUUGAAAUACUUUCAUCCGAAACAUUCUUUCAUCUAUGAAAACCAAGGUUAAUGAUUUUUCUUUUUUGCUUGCAACAUUCCUAUAUUUUUCCUCUGUUCUUUAUUUCAGUUUUUAGAAUUUUUCUAAAUUAAACUAAUACAUGUUUAUAGCAUUCCUUUAUCCUGUGCUACCCAGACUAUUAGAAUUAUACAAUAUUUCUCA
rnacentral:lncRNA from 1 species